rnacentral:rRNA from 1 species
ACAGGCUUAACACAUGCAAGUCGAGGGGUAGCAGGGUAGCAAUACCGCUGACGACCGGCGCACGGGUGAGUAACACGUAUCCAACCUUCCCAUGACUCAGGGAUAGCCUUUCGAAAGAAAGAUUAAUACCUGAUAGUACUUUUUUAAGGCAUCUUGAAAAAGUUAAAGAUUUAUCGGUUAUGGAUGGGGAUGCGUUCCAUUAGAUAGUUGGUGAGGUAACGGCUCACCAAGUCUUCGAUGGAUAGGGGUUCUGAGAGGAAGGUCCCCCACAUUGGUACUGAGACACGGACCAAACUCCUACGGGAGGCAGCAGUGAGGAAUAUUGGUCAAUGGGCGAGAGCCUGAACCAGCCAAGUAGCGUGAAGGAUGACGG